rnacentral:tRNA from 1 species
UCCGUUGAAGUCUAGUUGGUUAGGAUACUCGCGCUCUCACUCGAGAGACCCCGGGUUCAAUUCCCGGCAACAGAA